AAGUUUAUAUAUAUAUAUAUUGGCAGCCUUUUACAUAUUCAUGGAAUGAUCGAUCAUGAUUAUUAUUAUUAUUAUUAUUAUCAUUAAGUAGACGUUACACAAAGGACUGUGGACAUUAAUGCUUAAAGUAGCUAGCUAGAAAAAGUAACAAAAGGGUUAAACCAUAUAUAAUUAUUAAAUAUUUUGGAGCAAAUUAAGUUUAGUACGUAGUAAUAUUAUAUCAAUCUCAAGUAGUACAUGCACUAUCUUUGAGUUUAAACGCUUAGACUAAAUCGCUCUCGAACGCCAGAAAUAUAAGUAGCAGCUUUCAUAUCAAUGCUUUCGUCUCCAGCAGCAUACAGGUGGGAUGUGGCGGUGGCGGUGGCGGUGGCGGGGGGGCUAUGAUCAAACUUCCAAUACGAGUCGGGUAUAACUGCAAACCCUACCGACGGAGUAGAAGAAGAAGCAAUAUUUUGCUUUGGUUGAUCAGGGAUUAUUUGAGUACUACUCGAAUUUGAGGAUGUUCCAUGAAAAUUAGACCUUGCCAGCUGCUUGGCCUUCAUCAUCAAACCCUUGCCCAGCUUGUACUCCAUUAAGUCUCACCUACUUCUAUUCUUUCUUCGAUCUUGUUUGUUUAGUAAUCUGCAAUAUAUAUGCGAACUGGCUAUAUAUAUAUAUAUAUAUAUAUAUAUAUAUAUAUAUAUAUAUAUAUACACACACUAGUUUGCUGGUCUUAUGGUUGUAGUCGGUCUUGUAGUAAAGCUAGCUAGCGUUCAGAUAGAUAUUAAUUGAGAAUGUGUGUGGUCCCACAUUAUCUAUCCACAAAUAU
rnacentral:lncRNA from 1 species